rnacentral:rRNA from 1 species
CCUACGGGAGGCAGCAGUGGGGAAUAUUGGACAAUGGGCGAAAGCCUGAUCCAGCAAUGCCGCGUGAGUGAUGAAGGCCUUAGGGUUGUAAAGCUCUUUUACCAGGGAUGAUAAUGACAGUACCUGGAGAAUAAGCUCCGGCUAACUCCGUGCCAGCAGCCGCGGUAAUACGGAGGGAGCUAGCGUUGUUCGGAAUUACUGGGCGUAAAAGCGCGCGUAAGGCGGCGAUUCAAGUCAGAGGUGAAAAGCCCGGGGCUNAAACCCCGACCGGUANCUUCGUUAAA